CCCCCCCCCCCCCCCCCCCCCCCCAAUGAAAGCGUCCAUUCGUAUUCCUUUGCUCAACCUAAUGAACGAAUUAUGAAGACGCGUCCCAUUUGUCCAUCUGAUGGACUUGACACAAACAGUCCCUGUAUUUACUCCUUUAAAUUAAAACCGACCCCUUUGACAUAAAUCCUUUCAAGGAAAAUCAUGUUGACUUAGUCUUUACAAAAUAGUCCUUAUGCUAUUUUUGAAAGAUCAAAAAAUAGUCCCUUUUGGUUUAAUUCAAUACAAAAAGAAAUUCUUUGAGUUUGAUAUUUUACCAAACAAACCCGGAAAUGUUUUAAAGUCCAAUAGUGGUCAAAUGGCGCUUUCUCACGACAAGAUUCACGAAGCGAGCUUAGAUCGAGAUCACGCAUCGAAUGUUAUUUAUAAAGUCAGAAGAGUUUGUACAGAAGAUUCUCCGAUAUUCUUAUCAUACAAAUGCGAACAUCGGAUUGUUAAGUGUAUGUAGUGAUUCAACAAUAGUCCUUAUCAACGUAAUUUCUAUUUCGGUAAUAAUAGAAAAUUACAUUUGUACUGUUCGAUGUAAGUUCGAUGACUGUGAUUACUGGAAUACGUCGCGCACCUCGGCUUUUCCAUCGUCGGCCGAGGGUGUGACAAAUUCAGACAUUAGUCAAGUAAUAAUUUAAGGCAUUAAAUCAAAAUUUUGGAUUUUAUUGGAUACUAGGGAUAAUAUAUUAAUAUGUAGAUUUUGAUUUGGAAACUAAUGUGUAUCUCAUAAUUCAGUGACAUAUCACUAUAAUAAACGAAGGCAUUAUCGGCGAUGCUUUUAACUUUA